rnacentral:lncRNA from 1 species
AUGGCCGUGAGGAAUUCACAGCUCCAUUUGGGACGCCUAAAAAAGGCAAGGCAGCCCAAGUUUGAGAGGUGCAGCCAAUCGCUGCUGACCCGUCCAGCUGCUCGGGCCCCUCCCGCCGCUGACACAUCGCUCAACACACACUCCGGCCGUCACACUGAAGCUACAGCAGCACGACUGAAGAGAGCAGGGAGUGUGCACACAAACCAACGCAAUCAGAGAGAAAGACGAUCCAUUCACUCCGAUGCAUCUGACAGACACUCUUCUCUCAAGCACCUUACAUUGCUCAUGCAUUCCCUGGCAACUCAACCCAGGACCUUGCUGUUGCGAGCAUCAUGCUUUAGCAAAUACACAACACGUCUGCAUUGUCCUGCUGCUUAGAAUGAACACAGUGUCUGAUUCAUUUCCAAAUGACUCUUAGCCUGAUCUUUUGAAUGAAUCAGUCAAAACAAUUCUUAAAUCAGUCUCAAACUGGUUUGAAUCACUCCGACUGAAUCAGUGUGAACAGCUCUCAAUCACUGAAACUCUGUCAUGUCCAAAUGAAUUCACAUCCGUCUGUGUCUCACGCUGAGGAUCUGUUGAAUCACACAGACACUGCGUCUGAUAAAGCUGCGUAUCUCAGUAAACAGCCUUCCAUUAUCUCAGCGACACUCAGAGUAAUGAGAGCUGCCACAAACAACAGAUAAUCGGUUAUGACAGAAUAAUAAAUAAACGUAUCAAUGUCAAACGUUACUGUAGCUAGUUGAAUUUAUUUUCUAAUCAGAAAACUGACAGUUUUAUAAAUGCAUAAACAACAUCAGAAGUGAUUCACCAGCUAUAUAAAAAUAACUUUAAUAAUACAUAUUUUAUUUUAUUAUAUUUAAUUGUAAUUUCUAAUUUAUUUUAGGCCUAUUAUUAUUAUUAUUAUUAUUAUUAUUAUUAUUAUUAUUAUUAAUAAACAAAACAAAUAUUAAAAUAGUUUAAUAUAAUUAUUGUAUUUUUAUAGUAAUAUAUCACAGUAAAAUAAUAUAGUAAUAAUAUUUACACUGUUUAUGGAAGUCUUAAUUGCUUCUAAUUUAAAAAAGUUAAACCACUGAACUUUUCAAACAUUUGAUUUUAUUUCUUCAAACAUUGAAUCUGAUUAAUCGUGCAGCCCUCGAGCAAACACUGUAACAGUACAAAAACAAUACAUAUUCAGUCUAUUUCAUGUGAAUGUUGUAUACAGCAUUACCAGGUCCAUACAGCUUCAUCUCCGUUUUUAAAGCUUGUUUAUCACGUAAGAGUCCUGGAGAAAGCACAGAUUGGGAAAAUGUUUUCUGGCUGUCACGGAUGAUGAAUGAGUCGAGGGAAUGAGUUUAGAGAUGUUUUACAUCGUAGGCAGACUAAUGAGACUUUAUUCUGUGAGUAAUCACAAUGCAAAAACACUUCUGGAGACUUCAGACUUGUGCUGGUGAGAGCAAACACACACACACACACACACAUUGGUUGAUUAUGAGAGUGUGUGUGGGAGAUGUGGCUGAGUUUAGGAGACGGAUGGAGGUCUGGCACUGUAACGCUGGAAUGCACUGCCAAUGCCAAGCUAAAGCGACUCUUUCUGACAAACGCUGGAGCGUGAGGCCCGGCACGGAGAGAGUAACGGCUCUGGGUUCAGGCCAUGUUUAAGAGUGUGAGAGAUGAAGGACUGUUAUGAGCAGACACACCACACCGGCGAUGGCCACCACACACAUGCACCUAAAACACAACCCUCAGACGCUUGCAGAGCACUGCGAUACAUGAUGCUCAAAGACGCUUUGUCUUUUUCAGUAACAACUUAAACGUGUUAAACCCGCGGGUCAUUGCUCUGUAUAAUGAUGAGUGUUUCCAAACAGGUUUCCCUCUUCUCCCACAGCAAACUCUGGAAGUUAUAUCUCAAGAGUCCAAAAAAGUUCAACUUAAUAAUUUUGUCUCACUGAUUCGUUCACUUUUCAAACUUGUUUAGUGAAGUGCAGUGAGACAAAAUAUCAACCACUGAAAUCAUUUAAUAUGCAGCACAGUAACUUUGUAUUUAAUUAAUUUGCCUUAAUUAUUUACUGGAAAACAAGUAAAACAAGACUAAAUCAAGCUUACAGAGAAGUCAUUUUUACAAUGAAUGUCUUAUUUUAUGCUUUGAAUUGAUGAUGAUUCAAAUUUUGAGGUUAACCAC